rnacentral:rRNA from 1 species
GAUCUGGCUCAGGAUGAACGCUAGCUACAGGCUUAACACAUGCAAGUCGAGGGGCAGCAUUGGAGUAGCAAUACUCAGAUGGCGACCGGCGCACGGGUGAGUAACACGUAUCCAACCUGCCGCUUACUCGGGGAUAGCCUUUCGAAAGAAAGAUUAAUACCCGAUGGUAUAAAGAGUUCGCAUGUUCUCUUUAUUAAAGAAUUUCGGUAAGCGAUGGGGAUGCGUUCCAUUAGAUAGUUGGCGGGGUAACGGCCCACCAAGUCUACGAUGGAUAGGGGUUCUGAGAGGAAGGUCCCCCACAUUGGAACUGAGACACGGUCCAAACUCCUACGGGAGGCAGCAGUGAGGAAUAUUGGUCAAUGGACGAGAGUCUGAACCAGCCAAGUUAAACCGUGAAGGAUGACUGCCCUAUGGGUUGUAAACUUCUUUUAUAAGGGAAUAAAGUGAGGGACGUGUCCCUUUUUGUAUGUACCUUAUGAAUAAGGAUCGGCUAACUCCGUGCCAGCAGCCGC